GAUGAACGCUGGCGGCGUGCCUAAUACAUGCAAGUCGAGCGAACAGACGAGGAGCUUGCUCCUCUGACGUUAGCGGCGGACGGGUGAGUAACACGUGGAUAACCUACCUAUAAGACUGGGAUAACUUCGGGAAACCGGAGCUAAUACCGGAUAAUAUAUUGAACGGCAUGGUUCAAUAGUGAAAGACGGUUUUGCUGUCACUUAUAGAUGGAUCCGCGCCGCAUUAGCUAGUUGGUAAGGUAACGGCUUACCAAGGCAACGAUGCGUAGCCGACCUGAGAGGGUGAUCGGCCACACUGGAACUGAGACACGGUCCAGACUCCUACGGGAGGCAGCAGUAGGGAAUCUUCCGCAAUGGGCGAAAGCUUGACGGAGCAACGCCGCGUGAGUGAUGAAGGUCUUCGGAUCGUAAAACUCUGUUAUUAGGGAAGAACAAAUGUGUAAGUAACUAUGCACGUCUUGACGGUACCUAAUCAGAAAGCAACGGCUAACUACGUG
rnacentral:rRNA from 1 species